AUACCGGGCGAGGUAAUUAACAUCUCGCCACCGUGGCAACCCCUGCCCUCUCGUUGGCAAGAGCAGGUGGAUGGGCCCCAUCCCGAAUCAUGGAAAUCCACUUUGUUUUCGGAAAGCUCUGCAUGGUUCAGGAAGAACCCAAUAGACCAGCCUAAGUGGCUCCUCCGCCUGAUCAAGGUCUCGGCUAACGCACCUGCGUCGUCUCUCAGGUGAAACCUUACUGAAUAUGGCCACCGGUGAACAAGCAAGUAACAACCCACUACCGAAGCGACCAGGGUGAGCGUAAACGAGACGUACAACGGUAGAAGAUGAAAAAAAGGGGAUUUGAUGAGUCGCGCAGCAGCAGCGGCAGCCACUUCGCAUGCAGAGGGCAUCCUUCACUCGCUGCCUAUUGAUCGGCACUGUUCGUGAAAAGUGAAAUAAUUACCAUGCACAUGCAAUGCAUUGCGCGCAUGCCGUUGGCAAUAAUAAUAAGGUAUAUAUAUCGAUGGCCCAUGAUUCCUCUCUUUAAAUGUAUCUCACCCAAGGUCACCGUGUAGACAGUGUUGUCGCAGCCUUCUUGUAAAGGUCACGGUUGACACACGGUAUA